UGGGAUUCAUGAUCAGAAUUUUUGCUGCAAUGUAGCUCCUCAUCCAGAACUGACAUUACACCCCACUCAGCAGUGCCAGGAUCAACUGCAGUGUCAUUAUCUGUAACAGCAAUAGUAGUGUCUUCUGGACAUGAAAGUUUUUACAUGUACUUCUAGGGAUGUUUCUUAUUCUUGAUGCUUGCAUAAUUGUUCAUUAUUUAUAAUAACUUCCCUAAAUACAAUGAAAAUAUGAUUAUUGAACAGGAAAGAAUUUUUUUAUUAUUAUUAUUGUUAUCUUGUGAAGCCUGGGAUUCAAAACCUUUGAGUUCAUUUUCUCAUUAAGUCUCAGAUCGUUCAAGUGGCCUUGGACACAUCACUUAAUUUCAUUGGUCUUUUUUCGGAUUAAAAGACCACUUCACCUAUUUCCCCAUCACACAGUAGUGGUUAGAGGACAGGUUCUAAAUUGACUGUAAAUUGCUCACAUGUUAUUUUAUAGGGGGCAUAAUUUUUAUAAUGACUCCCACAACUCCUUAUUGCUAAGGAAUUGUAGGGCUAUGGUAAAGACAAUGGCUGUAUGUAUGUUGAUAUAACUCAGUGUCUGCCUAAUGAUGAUUACACCAUCUGUAUAUAUUUUCAUUAUCAGAGAGGCCUAGAAGUGAUAGUCUGGGUAUGUCUUUCCUACCUAAACAAGCUAAAUUAUAUCAGAUCAUUAGGGCAGGGCAGCUGUCAAUGUUGAUUUUAUCUCAUAUUUUUUUCACUUAAAGAAAAAAACAAAAAAACAGUGGGAAAGUAUCCAUCUGCACAUAUCUUCUCAACACAAGAGGGAUGCUAACAUGCUCUUGAAAUUGGUUCAGUAUACUGAAACAGAAAAACGUUGAAAUUGCACCACAUUUGCUCUCUUGGGGAUUCACUGACAGAUGUUGGCAGAUGGCACAUGUGGACAUAGCACUUCCUUUUACAGAAAUGUUUCUCUUUGCUUUGCCAGUCUUUAAGAUAGAAAGUGUGUUAUUAAGACAACAGAUGAUGCUAUUUUCUGUGUUUCACAUACAGAUUCAUUAAGGAGCAUAUGUAUUUCAUAUUUCAUCACUUUGAAGUUUGUGGUGGACAUCUCUUACUGUAUGAUAUGUUGCUCCUCACUGCUGAACACUGUGUCCUGAGAAAAAGAAAGGGAUGUUGCCAGCUGUCUGUAACCUUCUUCUCAUAUGACAGAACAAGUUAUGCUUUCCACACAGCUGUCUUAAUUUCCCACAUGUUUGUUAUCGAGUAUCUGAAAUAUCUGGAUUUUACAUGAGGCAGCCAACAUGUUGUGAACAUUCCUUGUAUUACGGAAAAAAAAAAUGCAGAAAUUUCCAGGUUGAGUGUGGGUGAAACGUUAUGAGAAGAGAUCCAGCAUCCUGGACUGCCUUCAACUCCACUGUUCAAAAUGACAAAUGCUGGAUAAAAGGCCACUGGUUUAGCUGCAGCCUUUACAUUUUCAAGAGCAGUUAGAAGAUUCUUGGCAGGAUGACUUUUCUCCCUUGAUGUCAAUAAUUAAUAGUAAGGUAAUCAGGGUACAAAUUCUGCAAAGGAGUGGUAAAAAUAAAGAGAAAAGAUGUCCUAUGUUAUUUUUGAAUACGUUUCUAGUUUCUUAAUUUCAGUCCUCUUUUGAUGUAAUGCAUGCCAUAUGAUUUGAUACAUUUCAGCAUAGGCCUACAGAUACAUCUGCUCCAAUGUUUGAUUUUGGUACUCUGGUUGAUAUGCAAAAUGAUGAUGUUAGACUUAGUCAUAAGAUGGAUUCUGUUUUUAAUCAUUAUACAAGGUGUUAUCUUUCUUGUGGAAAGUCAGUCCUGAGCAGAAUACACUCCAAGCAGAAUUGUCUUUCCAAAUGAUCUUAUGUUGCUGUUACUGGAGACGAAUUCCAAGAAUGGGAUGCAAAAUGUGUCCACUGACAUUUGGCAGUGUGCUCAGUUACAACAUACACAACAAAUGAUAAAGACAGAAAUAAAGUUCAAGAUAUAAAGAAUUAUGGAUCAACUUUGCCCAGUGAUAUGUGGAAUUUUUCUGUACUGGACCUUUGGAGACACAGUUACUUCUCCUGAUCACCACUGGGUUCCUUCACAGCCUGCUGUUACUCCUGCUUCUCUGAAGUAUAUACUCUUAUGUUGGAUGGGAAAAUAUGGCCUCUAACAACAUGAGUAACAUCCUUUCACUGCACACCAGUUGCACAUAGAGAAGAGGAAAACUAGAAUGUCAAGAAGGAAAAAGCACCAUCUCUUUUACCUGUCAGUACUAGGACCUACAGACCUUUCCAUCUUAAUUUAUCAUGAAGACCUAGCUAAAAAUACAGUUCCUGACAAGUGGUUCCAAAUAAAUUAAUUGAAAACAUCAACAAGAAAGAUCAUUGACACUUCUGCUAGUUUUACUUUCCUGCAAAAUGAAUCAUUCUGGGUACUGCUGUUUCUUCUGUAGCCUGGAGUAUAACUGUUUACACAUUUAAAAGAGGAUUGUUCAGCUCAUGCAGUCACCUUGGAAAAUGCCAACCAGAUUCCUUUAUGAUGGAACUAAACUGGGAUAUAUUCCCUGGAAGCAUUGUGAAAAUACACCAACUGCAAAAAGGGACAAAGCUCAUGGGCAACACAAGGACCAAUCUAAAUUAAACUCCCCUUGAAAUGUGUACAUCGGGGACACUGGAUCUUAAACAUUAUUUGUUUUGUUUUGCAAAUCUACUGCUUAGCUACACUGCUAGACCAUACAUAACCCUGAAGACCAUAAAGUUUAUUCACUGAAUGCUGAACUUCUCUGAAAAUCUAAAUGUGAGAAUGACAAAAAGCAGUUCACAGACAUUGUAAUUCUUCUCUGCACAGAUAAAUGCACAGUGUCUCAAAAAUACUUCAACAGAGUCUUUUGAAAAUCCAUGGCAUCAUCGGAGAAACAGAUCUGACUGAUUUUGUCUGAAAAAAAAAUUUAGAAGAUGGUUUCAUUUGUAUUUUAGCACAGGAAAUUGUCAGAAGUCUGCCAACAGUUCUGUAAAAUUCUCCAUCUCCUCACUACUUCUUCAAUCUGCAUCCUUUCCCUAAUGAAAUAUACCAUCUCUGCUAUCAAUUCAGCAGUGUGCAAGCACACGCUCAGCUUUCUAGGAGCAAUUCAGUAACAUUCAACCACCCAGAUGUCUGGAAAUGUCUUCACCAGGAACCUGGGUGAGUAGCCAAGGGAAGUUUACCUCUGAAUUUCAGUGAUAUUCAGGUGAAUUUCAUGAUCUUUACUUGUUAUUAUCAGAAAUGAUGGUGUGAAGUACUUUAAUCAGUGUUAGAGUGCACAAAAUCUGCUGCUAUAGCAGUUCAUAAUAGGAGCUCAUUAUCAGCUACAAUAGCUGUCUCCUAGAAGGAAUGAAUAAAUAAACUGGGUUGAAAAUAUGAUGUGAAAAUAUUUCUAUUGUAUAACAUUAUGCAUAUAAUUCAUCAAAUUUUCUUAGUAGGUUGUGUUGUCUAUCAUGACAUUAGCAAGGAUUUUGAUAUGUCUCCCGUUCUUGUAAUAUAGUUGGGAUGUUACAGUACAGAUGGGUAGACUACAAGGUGCAUGAAAUCCUGGGUAGGUUACUUGUCAACGUGUGUAGAUUCACCAUCCACCCUUCACCUUGGUUGAAUGGUUACAUGUAAAGUUUUUAAGGACUCUGUCCCGGGACUGAUCCUAUUUAAAAAUGUGGAGAAGAGUGAAGAUAUAUUCAUCAUAUUUGUAUACAACACUGUCUGGGAUAGUGUUGUAUGCUAUCUACCUACAGUAGAUGGUCUUGAUGGCAGGGCUGCCAUUCAGAUGGACCUGGCUAGGCUAGAUGAAGCAAGGAACUUUGUGAAAUUGAACAAAGACAAAUGCAAAGACUUGCAUCUUGGACAGACAUACCCUUCAUCAGCACUGGCUGGGUACUGACUGGCUGGAUAGCAACCCUGUUGGAAAGCUGCCAGGAAUCCUCGGUGGACAGUAUGCUAAACACGAGUCACAUCUGGGUAACAGUGAUGGUGGCUAACAGUAUACUUGGCUGUAAAAAUGGGAUCGAUUCAGCCACUAGAUCAAAGGAAGAGCAUAAUCAGCUUGCUGUUCAUUAGAUCACUUCUGGAGACCUGAAUCCAGUUUUGAGCCUUUCAGGACAGUAAAGAGAUUGAUUAACUGGAAUGAGUUCAGCAAAUAGCCACCAAAAUGGAUGGAGGACGGAGCAUUCUUCCUGUGAGCAAAGAGGGAUCUGAGCUUGUUUAGCUGGAUCAGGAACAUUAGGGACCUCCAGCAGCACAGAGCCAUGAAUUUUACUGGCUUGCACAGUGAGAAGAUGAGUGACCAAAAAUUGAAGCAUGAGUGUUUC
ensembl:lncRNA